AAAAACAUAGCCUUUAGCUAAACAAGUAUUAAAGGUCCUGCCUGCCCAGUGAACCAACGGCCGCGGUAUCCUAACCGUGCAAAGGUAGCGUAAUCACUUGUCUUUUAAAUAAAGACUCGUAUGAACGGCUAAAUGAGGAUAACCCUGUCUCUUAUAGUAAAUCAGUGAAACUGAUCUUCAAGUACAAAAGCUUGAAUAAACCCAUAAGACGAGAAGACCCCGUGGAGCUUAAAAUAACACUAUUAUAAAUAAUAGAAAAUUUUAAGUUGGGGCGACUUCGGAAUAAAAAAGAACUUCCGAGCAUGAGUCAACCACUCUAACCCAGACCAACAAGUCAAACCGACCCAGUCCUACUGAUCAACGAACCAAGUUACCCCGGGGAUAACAGCGCCAUCUUCUUCAAGAGUUCCUAUCGACAAGAAGGUUUACGACCUCGAUGUUGGAUCAGGACACCCAAAUGGUGCAGCAGCUAUUAAAGGUUCGUUUGUUCAACGAUUAACAGUCCUACGUGAUCUG
rnacentral:rRNA from 1 species